UUCNACAAUGGAUCUCUUGGUUCCGGCAUCGAUGAAGAACGCAGCGAAGCUGCGAUAAGUAAUGUGAAUUGCAGAAUUCAGUGAAUCAUCGAGUCUUUGAACGCACAUUGCGCCCCCUGGCAUUCCGGGGGGCAUGCCUGUCCGAGCGUCAUU
rnacentral:rRNA from 1 species